AAAACUUUCAACAACGGAUCUCUUGGUUCUGGCAUCGAUGAAGAACGCAGCGAAAUGCGAUAAGUAAUGUGAAUUGCAGAAUUCAGUGAAUCAUCGAAUCUUUGAACGCACAUUGCGCCCGCUAGUAUUCUGGCGGGCAUGCCUGUUCGAGCGUCAUUUCAACCCUCAAGCACUGCUUGGUGUUGGGG
rnacentral:rRNA from 1 species